GAUGAACGCUGGCGGCGUGCCUAAUACAUGCAAGUCGAGCGAACAGACGAGGAGCUUGCUCCUCUGACGUUAGCGGCGGACGGGUGAGUAACACGUGGAUAACCUACCUAUAAGACUGGGAUAACUUCGGGAAACCGGAGCUAAUACCGGAUAAUAUAUUGAACCGCAUGGUUCAAUAGUGAAAGACGGUUUUGCUGUCACUUAUAGCUGGAUCCGCGCCGCAUUAGCUAGUUGGUAAGGUAACGGCUUACCAAGGCAACGAUGCGUAGCCGACCUGAGAGGGUGAUCGGCCACACUGGAACUGGGACACGGUCCAGACUCCUACGGGAGGCAGCAGUAGGGAAUCUUCCGCAAUGGGCGAAAGCCUGACGGAGCAACGCCGCGUGAGUGAUGAAGGUCUUCGGAUCGUAAAACUCUGUUAUUAGGGAAGAACAAAUGUGGAAGUAACUAUGCACGUCUUGACGGUACCUAAUCAGAAAGCCACGGCUAACUACGUG
rnacentral:rRNA from 1 species